ensembl:snoRNA SNORA62 Small nucleolar RNA SNORA62/SNORA6 family
UUAAAAUGAUGUCACACCUAGGGGAGGGUGGGCCCUAAAUCCAGUGACUGGGGUCUUUAUAAAAGAGGAAACAAAGUUUUUCGCUAACACCAUGAGGGUCUCUGGCCCGAUGAGUGGAGUUUGAUAGUAAUUCUUGCUACAGUA